UACGUAGGGUGCGAGCGUUAAUCGGAAUUACUGGGCGUAAAGCGUGCGCAGGCGGUGAUGUAAGACUGAUGUGAAAUCCCCGGGCUCAACCUGGGAACUGCAUUUGUGACUGCAUCGCUGGAGUGCGGCAGAGGGGGAUGGAAUUCCGCGUGUAGCAGUGAAAUGCGUAGAUAUGCGGAGGAACACCGAUGGCGAAGGCAAUCCCCUGGGCCUGCACUGACGCUCAUGCACGAAAGCGUGGGGAGCAAACAGG
rnacentral:rRNA from 1 species